GGAUAGGGAGAGGAGCAGCUGUGGGCUGUGGAGAGGGAUGGCAAUCCCACACCAGCACUGGAACUGGAUGGGGACCUGUCCCCAGACUGAGAAGUGCCCAGGGCACCAGGUCCUGGGCUCUGCACCAGCCCGUGCUCUUCUCUCCCCAACUUCCUCCACCCUGACCAGCUCGAGUGACCAUGGAAGAAGACUGUGGGGACCAAAGACAGGCUAGACAAGGAAACACAGAAGCCUAGGAAAGCAGAAGUGGGAUGUGGAAACCAGAACUUCUGUGAGAGGCUUGGAACUGUUCCCCCUCAAGAGCCUGGCAUUGCUGUGGGUGACAUCUGUGCCACAGAAAUGACCGCAAGGGACAGGAGGGCAUGGCUGUCUGCAGCUCUGCUCUUUCUGCAGGUCCCAGGCUGUUCAUCUAUACGUGGUCCCACCUCCGUGUCGGGCACCGUGGGGGGAUCCCUGAGCGUGCAGUGUUCGUACGAACAGCAAGUGAGAGACUAUCCCAAAUACUGGUGCAGUAAGCCAUGUUUCUGGAAAAUUGUGAAGACCGAAGAGUCAGACAGAGAAGUGAAGAGCCGCCGCGUGUCCAUCAGGGACCAUCCUGCAAACCUCACCUUCACAGUGACCUUGGAGAACCUCAGAGAGGAUGAUGCAGGAACGUAUCAGUGUGGGAUCGAUACAUCCUGGUUAGGAAAAUUUGGAGAUCCCACCUUCCCCGUUGAGGUGUCUGUGACCCCAGGCAACACUGAAGCCCCCAGCAUCGUGAGGCCCCCCAGUCCCACAGGUCUUCACAGGACACUGCCAGCACCCAGGGGGCGCACUACGAUCCGGCAAGAGACCCCCAGUCCCAGCCGACAUCCCCGGUAUGAGGCUCGCACGUGGAGACCUAUGACACCGGGCUGAUUUCUAGACCACACCGGGGGCUGAGGAAUGAGGGUGUGUCUCUCUCGGCCCUGUGCCCACCCCCAGCCGGGAAGGUCUCCCCAGGCGCUCUUCUGUGGAUACAGCCCUGAGCCACUGAGACCCAAUCCCGCUCUGACAAAAGUGGGGGAAUUCACACAAGGACUAAGUCAACACACUCAUCAAGAUAAGUUUGCGCUUUCGUGAUGAGUGCUUGGAGAAAAUCCGUCAGAGGGGUCAGGGAGGGCUUGUGCGGGAGGGGGAUGGGAGUGCUAUCCAAUACACAACCGCCAGGGAGAGGACGUGUCACUGGAGGCCUGCAGGAUUUGGGGAGCCGGCACUCAGGUGCUCUGCAGAAAUGGGGCUCCAGGAAGAGGGAAGAGCAAGUGUCAAGAGUUUUAUAAAAGGCGCCUUCAGGGCUCGGCCCAGGCCAGGUGCUCUGGGAGCCGGUGGUCCCUGCACUGUCCCCGCUGCGUCCCCCCCAAACCCUGGACAGAGCAGCAUCCUGUUGAACACCAGGCCUCUGAAGGUCCCUGCUCAGCAGCGUCUACUUCCUGCUCCUGGUCUUCCUGGAGGUGCCCCUGCUUCUG